ACUACAUCUCCCCCUCGGCGUUGUCCUUGUUCCAUGAAGCUACUCCAUCCGCGAACAUCUCAAGGUCUGGGUUUCCCAAUGGCAGGUCUGUCAGAUGGGGACAGCUGGAUCAAACUUGUUUAGUUAUCUGAAUACCACCAUGGACAGGUUCUUCAGGACUAGUGGGAAGUGGAGUGGCUGGAUUUAAGGUCGAGACUGCUGUCUGAGUGACGUUAGGAUUGUCGAGCAGUAUGGCUUGACACUUGCCUAACCUCGCAGAGGACACAGUUGGAAACAUUAGUUGUAUUACAAAGGCUUUGACUGGAAUGUCAUAUCUGAGAGAAACAUACAGGCUCAGAGAUGACAAGACAGCUUCUCAGGAACAAAGAUUGAGCUUUAUGGAAUAAAGCCCCUUGGAAAUAUUGGCUUGGUAUCUUGUUCACAGAGAUUCCAGCAAUCUUACCUGUUUCACCUCCUGGACCACUUCUCAUCAAAUGAUUCUCGUCUCCAGAGGAUCUGUAUACCUUGUCAGCCUUGGACUCCAUGGGUGCAACCUUCCGGUGCACUGAACUUCCUGCCUAUACCCCUAUGGCCCAAUUUAGGGACAGCUCUACGACCUUGUACAGAUGAAAGUAGUUACAGAAGAUUGACCAUCGUCCAUAUCCCCAAAAGAUUUUGGGGCCAAAUAGGUUCGGGGGGGUGGUUUAUGAUGAGAAUCAAGGCUGCCCCAGGGAGAGAAGCACAAGGUGUCCUGCCCCACAUACUGAUCUAUAUCAUCCUCUGGGAAGCAUAGGACGUCCUGACCUGAUCUGAUCUGAUUCUCGUGUAAAGUUAUAGGACCACCCAAUAACCAGACCCCACCUACACUGAUACCAUUUUAACAAGUUUUUUACAUAAUCUUUCCUUUGUCUUGUGAAGAAAUAAUUCACAUACCUAUGCCUCAGAUUUAGCCCUGCCCUCAACCCAUUGCAGCUCUCACUGCCCAUGGGUCCUGUCCCCAUGCUGCAGCUCUUCACUACCCACCGCUCCUGUCCCCAUGCUAUUCUCUGAAUAAAGGAGCACUACUACCAGACCUUGAGAGUCCAAGAAAUCUUUCUUUCAACUCCUCGGCUCACUGAGCCUGCAUCACAUAAAAUCUUUGUCCUCCCAAGAUCUCAGUCCAGGGAGAGAGAGAGAAAGAGAA
rnacentral:lncRNA from 1 species